GGAUGUGAAGGCAAUCUGGUUGUGACAUCUGUCACCCAAUUGAUUGCCAGGAGUUGGCUGAUCUGGUUGGCAAGGCAGGUGUCUCCUUCCUCUCUCAUCACUCCAUGUGUGUCCCUCCUGAAGCUGUGCACUCAGUCGAAGAGGAUGACUUUCCCCCAUAAAGGAGGACUGUUCUUCGGUCAAGGGUAUACCAGUAGCUGCGCUCCUCUGCUAGAACCUCCAGACAAGCUCUCACGGUCCGUUUGUAGGAGAACGUAGGGCAGUCAAGCUUCUAGGAUGCCAGAUACAUCCAGAUGAGGUGCUGCAGGUGUCAGUAUGCCUUUCUUU
ensembl:misc_RNA 7SK 7SK RNA